GAUGAACGCUGGCGGCGUGCUUAACACAUGCAAGUCGAACGGUGAAGGCGGAGCUUGCUCUGCUGGAUCAGUGGCGAACGGGUGAGUAACACGUGAGCAAUCUGCCCCUGACUCUGGGAUAAGCGCUGGAAACGGCGUCUAAUACUGGAUACGAGCUGCGAAGGCAUCUUCAGCAGCUGGAAAGAAUUUCGGUCAGGGAUGAGCUCGCGGCCCAUCAGCUUGUUGAUGAGGUAAUGGCUCACCAAGGCGUCGACGGGUAGCCGGCCUGAGAGGGUGACCGGCCACACUGGGACUGAGACACGGCCCAGACUCCUACGGGAGGCAGCAGUGGGGAAUAUUGCACAAUGGGCGAAAGCCUGAUGCAGCAACGCCGCGUGAGGGACGACGGCCUUCGGGUUGUAAACCUCUUUUAGCAGGGAAGAAGCGAAAGUGACGGUACCUGCAGAAAAAGCGCCGGCUAACUACGUG
rnacentral:rRNA from 1 species